AACGAACGCUGGCGGCGUGUUUAAGACAUGCAAGUCGCACGGGGCGGGAGUGGUAGCAAUAUUGCUUUCGUUUAGUGGCGCACGGGUGAGUAACACGUGAAUGACAUGCCCUUCAGAGGGGGAUAGCCCAGGGGAAACUUGGAUUAAUACCCCAUGGUCUCGCAAGAGUAAAGGUGGCCGCGAGGCUGCCGCUGGAGGAUUGGUUCGCGUUCUAUCAGCUUGUUGGCGGGGUAACGGCCCACAAGGCGACGACGGAUACCUGGUCUGAGAGGACGAUCAGGCACACUGGAACUGAGACACGGUCCAGACACCUACGGGUGGCUG
rnacentral:rRNA from 1 species